rnacentral:tRNA from 1 species
UGCGGGAUGGAGAAGUUCGGUAUCUCAUCGGGCUCAUAACCCGAAGGUCUCAGGUUCAAAUCCUGAUCCCGCCAC